UAGGGAAUCUUCCACAAUGGACGCAAGUCUGAUGGAGCAACGCCGCGUGAGUGAAGAAGGCUUUCGGGUCGUAAAACUCUGUUAUUGAAGAAGAACGUGUGUGACAGUAACUGGUCAUGCAGUGACGGUAUUCAAUCAGAAAGUCACGGCUAACUACGUGCCAGCAGCCGCGGUAAUACGUAGGUGGCAAGCGUUGUCCGGAUUUAUUGGGCGUAAAGCGAGUGCAGGCGGUCUUUUAAGUCUGAUGUGAAAGCCUUCGGCUUAACCGAAGAAGGGCAUCGGAAACUGGGAGACUUGAGUGCAGAAGAGGAGAGUGGAACUCCAUGUGUAGCGGUGAAAUGCGUAGAUAUAUGGAAGAACACCAGUGGCGAAGGCGGCUCUCUGGUCUGUAACUGACGCUGAGGCNCGAAAGCGUGGGUAGCAAACAGGAUUAGAUACCCUGGU
rnacentral:rRNA from 1 species